rnacentral:rRNA from 1 species
UACGAAGGGGGCUAGCGUUGCUCGGAAUCACUGGGUGUAAAGGGCGCGUAGGCGGCCAUUCAAGUCGGGGGUGAAAGCCUGUGGCUCAACCACAGAAUUGCCUUCGAUACUGUUUGGCUUGGGUUUGGUAGAGGUUGGUGGAAUCUGCGAGUGUAGAGGUGAAAUUCGUAGAUAUUCGCAAGAACACCAGUGGCGAAGGCGGCCAACUGGACCAAUACUGACGCUGAGGCGCGAAAGCGUGGGGAGCAAACAGG